AUCGAGUUAAGAACAACUGGUGCCGCUGUCUGUCGCUGGCAGACUGCGGGUAAUAGGGAAACAGGUGGAAAUCCUGUACGAUCUCGUCACUGUAAGUAAGGAGCGCAUGGUUCGUGUCAAGGACAGUCACUGAUUCGUUUGAAUUGGGAAGGCGGUCAUGCGUGUUGAUAUACGAGUCAGGAAACCUGCCAGUUGUUGGUACAGGAAU
rnacentral:ncRNA from 20 species